rnacentral:rRNA from 1 species
GUAGAGUUCGUCAUAGAUCUUAUCCCAGGAACAGCUCCAAUCUCCCGGAGACCUUACAAGAUGGCACCCUUAGAACUAGCCGAGCUUAAGAAACAACUCGAUGAGUCCUUGCAAAAGGGUUUCAUCCGUCCUAGUUCUUCUCCUUGGGCUUGCCCCGUCCUCUUCGUCAAGAAGAAGGAUGGUACGGACCGGAUGGUUGUAGAUUAUCGUCCCGUUAAUUUGGUCACGAUAAAGAACAAGUAUCCGCUUCGCAGGAUCAACGACCUGUAUGAUCAGCUCGCUGGAUCCUCAGUCUUCUCCAAGAUGGAUUUAAGGUUAGGCUACCAUCAAAUCAAGAUCAGAAACGGGGACAUUCCCAAGACAGCUUUUGUCACUCGUUAUGGCCAGUACGAGUACACCGUCAUGUCCUUUGGCCUAACCAACGCCCCAGCCACAUUUUCCCGCCUGAUGAACUCGAUUUUCAUGGAGUACUUAGAUAAGUUUGUCGUGGUUUACCUCGAUGAUAUUCUUAUUUACUCGAAGAACGAGGAAGAGCAUGCCGAACAUCUUAGACUUGUGUUAGAAAAACUCAGAGAGCACCGCCUUUAUGCCAAGUUCUCCAAGUGUGAAUUUUGGUUGCCAGAAGUGACCUACCUAGGCCACGUAAUCUCUGGUAAGGGCAUUGCUGUCAAUCCCGAGAGAGUUCAAGCCGUUCUCGAUUGGACUCCACCUGAGACCGUUAAACAAGUUAGGAGUUUCCUUGGUCUAGCCAGCUAUUGUCGCCGCUUUGUUGAAAACUUCUCCAAAGUAGCCAAACCCCUCACGGAACUUCUCAAGAAAGAUAAAAAGUUUGAGUGGUCCCCACAGUGUGAGUACAGUUUUCAGGAACUGAAAAGACGCCUGACUUCUGCUCCCAUACUUGUGCCACCGGAUUUCACUAAAGACUUUAUUAUCUACUGCGAC